rnacentral:lncRNA from 1 species
AUCAGAAGAAGCAUUUGUUGGUGGAAACCUGAGCAAGCAAUUCUACAUCCUUUCCAAAAUCUUUCUGAACCAGAAAGAGAAAAUUCUCAAACACAGAUCGAACUAAGGCCUCAACCUUCUUCAGAAAUGCAAAAGUUCAGAAAAGAAUGGUUUAACUUGGAUGAGUACUGAAGUAAUUAAAAAGAUGAGUUGAGCCUGUGAGUAUAAUGCUAGCUCAGCAGCCAGUCAACCUGAAAUUAUGAAGGUCAAAAGAAUCUAAAAUUGAAAUGCAAAUUUGAGUCAUAUCUUGUGCCAUGUGAAGUCAACCACAAAUGGAAAGUUCCAUCGGGUGCUGUAGACUUAGGUUGGUAGAGCACAGGUUCACUCAGCACAAGUUCACAAAACUUUUUAUAACCCUAUUUUUUCUCUUUAUUUCACUCUACCAUAUCAAUUAUCACAUACCACAUUUGUCACUCAUCUAUUCCAAUAUUUCAACUGUCCAUUACUGACUUUUUUUUGUGAAGUCAAAAAGCAUAUUUACCAUGUACAACUUUAUUAAGAUGAAAGAACAAUACAACUCAUAUUUAGCAUGUCUAGCUUCUUUUCAAAAUAAUGAACAGUGGAAUCACUUAGCAUGCUCAUAUUAAAACUUUCCUACCCGGUUUACCAAACAUUAGCAUAUAUCGUAGGAAAUGUAUAAAAGUGCAUAAAAUUAAUGAAUAAUAGGCUUCUUUUGAAUAACUAAUACUUAAGGCAUUACCGUCCUGGCAUAAGACUCCAUGUUUUCUUCAAAACACUUAAUUUUUUAUUAGAGUCUUAUUUGUAUUCCCCUAAACUUACAAUUUAUGUUACAAAUUUCACUUAGAUAUCAGAAAGAAAGAAAGAAAACACAAUGGUCAAUUCAUCGCUGCAGUUUUGAGUUAUGUACUGGUUUUUUAAGUCUCAACCACAACCUCUAAUUGUUUCCUCUGCUGUAACAGUCAGGGAACAUGAAGGGAAAUUUUCUUAUAGAUCAGACUUUUCUCCUUGAAGGUGACCUAGAACCCAAAACCAAAUAUUUGUUUACAACUUUCUAUAUAUCAAACUUUUCUCACAGAAUGUUAGCUUAUGUAUCACAAAAAUAUGCAAAUUAAACAACAAUACAACACCAAGAUAUAAAGUGACAUUAAACUGAUUGUGAUUGAGACAUCGAAGCAUCUCUAUGAUAUGCGCAAUUUGCGUAUCCAGUUGUAUUCAUAGACAAACACAACAGAUUCAGUGCUAUUGAUGGUAGUGCAACAGCAAACAAAGAAAAAGAAUGUAAAUGUGUAUUGAAAGUAAAUUCAAUUUGCAUGUCCAUGCACAUUUAUACACAUUACAAUUUGUUCUUGUAACGUUCAGAUUUGAAUCAUCAAUACGUGGUAAAGUGUAAAACUUUAUAGAUUAUAUGUAGAAAAACUGACCUAAAUAUAUCUCGCCUGAGUGGAGGGGAUGGCGUGGGGAGUAGGGGACUCCGUUGUUAUAAUCGUUGUUGCCUGAGGUGCGUGCGUUUUCAAUUGUGAGAGGUCUUUUCAAUCUGUAGGCUCGCUUCAAAGGAGGAGAAGGCCUCAUCUGCGCCAACGCCGGUGGGUGAGCCGUCGCCGUGCCCACCACCACGGUACAUUUGCGGAGACUGAACAGCGUGCGUUUGGGAGAGGCUG